UCCGAGUUGUAAUUUGCAGAGGGCGCUUUGGCAUUGGCAGCGGUCCAAGUUCCUUGGAACAGGACGUCACAGAGGGUGAGAAUCCCGUACGUGGUCGCUAGCCUUUACCGUGUAAAGCCCCUUCGACGAGUCGAGUUGUUUGGGAAUGCAGCUCUAAAUGGGAGGUAAAUUUCUUCUAAAGCUAAAUACUGGCCAGAGACCGAUAGCGCACAAGUAGAGUGAUCGAAAGAUGAAAAGCACUUUGGAAAGAGAGUUAAAAAGCACGUGAAAUUGUUGAAAGGGAAGCGCUUGCAGCCAGACUUGCCUGUAGUUGCUCAUCCGGGUUUUUACCCGGUGCACUCUUCUAUAGGCAGGCCAGCAUCAGUUUGGGCGGUUGGAUAAAGGUCUCUGUCAUGUACCUCCUCUCGGGGAGAACUUAUAGGGGAGACGACAUGCAACCAGCCUGGACUGAGGUCCGCGCAUCUGCUAGGAUGCUGGCGUAAUGGCUGUAAGCGGCCCGUCUUGAAACACGGACCAAGGAGUCUAACAUCUAUGCGAGUGUUUGGGUGUCAAGCCCGAACGCGUAAUGAAAGUGAACGGAGGUGGGAACCUUUCGGGGUGCACCAUCGACCGAUCCUGAUGUCUUCGGAUGGAUUUGAGUAAGAGCA
rnacentral:rRNA from 1 species